rnacentral:sRNA from 1 species
AAGUCACAGGCAGGCAGGUUGUGAAAUCUGCCACCCUUUUUACUGCCAGCCUUGACUCAGCUGAUCUGCCCACUGAGUGGAUGUUACCUCUCUACAUCACAGCUCAACAGGCAUCCCUCCCAAAGCUGCUGGAUCAAAAAUGAUGAUCUUUAUGAUCUGUUCAGAAAGAGGAGGUGAUAUCUUCCCCUCAGUAGUUUGCAGCAAGUAGCUGACCUCUGCCUGAGUCUCCAAAUACUUAUGAAGGGCUAUUUAUAGGAGAAAUGAAGCUUAACUUUAAAGCAGAGAUCAGACACAAUGACAGGUAUCCAUAU